rnacentral:ncRNA from 1 species
UUUAUUAAGAACGGUGGAGGGACUGGCCCUGAGAAACCUAGCAACCUGUUAUCAGUAACAAGUGAUAAGUUGUAAGUGACAAGUUAUAUAAAUUAACUGUGACUUAUAGUUAUAAAUUUUGCUGAUGUACGUUGGUGCUAAAUCCUGCAGGUUUAACCUGAGAAAUGAGA